UAGCGGCGGACGGGUGAGUAACGCGUGAGCAACCUUUCUCUUGCUGGGGAAUAACACAGGGAAACUUGUACUAAUACCGCAUGAGACCACGGUAGGGCAUCCUACAGGGGUCAAAGAUUAAUUGGCAAGAGGUGGGCUCGCGUCUGAUUAGAUAGUUGGUGGGGUAACGGCCUACCAAGUCGACGAUCAGUAGCCGACCUGAGAGGGUGAUCGGCCACAUUGGGACUGAGACACGGCCCAAACUCCUACGGGAGGCAGCAGUGGGGAAUAUUGGGCAAUGGGGGGAACCCUGACCCAGCAACGCCGCGUGGAGGAAGAAGGUUUUCGGAUCGUAAACUCCUGUCCUCAAGGAAGAGUAGAAGACGGUACUUGAGGAGGAAGCCCCGGCUAACUACGUGCCAGCAGCCGCGGUAAUACGUAGGGGGCAAGCGUUGUCCGGAAUGAUUGGGCGUAAAGGGCGCGUAGGCGGCUUUAUAAGUCUGGAGUGAAAGUCCUGCUUUCAAGGUGGGAAUUGCUUUGGAUACUGUAGAGCUUGAGUGCAGGAGAGGUAAGUGGAAUUCCCAGUGUAGCGGUGAAAUGCGUAGAGAUUGGGAGGAACACCAGUGGCGAAGACGACUUACUGGACUGUAACCGACGCUGAGGCGCGAAAGUGUGGGGAGCAAACAGGAUUAGAUACCCUGGUAGUCCACACUGUAAACGAUGAGUGCUAGGUGUAGGGAGGUAUCGACCCCUUCUGUGCCGCAGUAAACACAAUAAGCACUCCGCCUGGGGAGUACGGCCGCAAGGUUGAAACUCAAAGGAAUUGACGGGGGCCCGCACAAGCAGCGGAGCAUGUGGUUUAAUUCGACGCAACGCGAAGAACCUUACCAGGUCUUGACGUCCAGUUAAAGCGGUAGAGAUACCGUGUGUGCUUGCACAAACUGAGACAGGUGGUGCAUGGUUGUCGUCAGCUCGUGUCGUGAGAUGUUGGGUUAAGUCCCGCAACGAGCGCAACCCUUGCUGAUAGUUACUAACGCGUAGAGGCGAGGACUCUAUUAGGACUGCCGGGGACAACUCGGAGGAAGGUGGGGACGACGUCAAAUCAUCAUGCCCCUUAUGACCUGGGCUACACACGUGCUACAAUGGCUACUACAAAGAGAAGCGAGCUCGCAAGGGUAAGCGGAACUCAAAAAAGUAGUCCCAGUUCGGAUUGUGGGCUGCAACCCGCCCACAUGAAGUCGGAGUUGCUAGUAAUCGCGGAUCAGCAUGCCGCGGUGAAUGCGUUCCCGGGCCUUGCACUCACCGCCCGUCA
rnacentral:rRNA from 1 species